AAAUCCCAAUGAUGAAUGUAACUGUAUUGUAUACUAAAAAGUACCAAUAAAUUUAAUGGAAAAAAAAAAGAAAGUAGUUUCACUCUUAGUAUAGUCUGUUGCAUUUGUUUUGGUUUGUAUUUUGGCAUUAUUUACGUAGCUGAAAUAUUUCUAGAUCCAUUUUCUUGUACUGUAACUUUGAGGUUGCUGGAUUUCAUAAACAAGGCUGAGGACACUUCAUGCGUUCAAGUAAGAUACAUGUCAAGGUUUAGCUUAACCAUUUAUCAGUCAGUGAACAUUGCUGCAUGUUCUCCCACAUGUAUGCAUGGAAUUUCUGAAUGAAGGGCCCUUUGUUUCCCUCAGGAGCUUCAGAGAGAUAUCGAGAAGCACAGCACGGGUGUCGCCUCUGUUCUCAAUCUGUGUGAGGUCCUGCUGCAUGACUGUGAUGCUUGUGCCACCGAUGCCGAGUGUGACUCCAUCCAGCAGGCAACACGAAACCUGGACCGGCGGUGGAGAAACAUCUGCGCUAUGUCUAUGGAAAGGAGGCUCAAAAUCGAAGAGACAUGGCGUUUGUGGCAGAAGUUUCUGGAUGACUAUUCUCGUUUUGAAGACUGGCUGAAGAUUUCAGAAAGGACAGCUGCUUUUCCAAGCUCUUCGGGGGUGCUCUAUACAGUUGCCAAGGAAGAACUAAAGAAAUUUGAGGUGAUUUAUAGUUUCAAAUAUUUAAUGCUUACUUUGCUAUUAAAGUAGCCAGCUGGUGUUGGUGUUCCAAGACAUAAACUGUCUGCCCACGCCUUAUUUGUUCAAAUACCUGGGUGAUGACCUUGUAGCCACCAUUAGCAAUACCUCAUAAAUAGGCAGACAAGGCAUAAGGGAAAUAUUUAUUUUAAUUUCAGAUAAUCAAGAAUUGCAAGGGGCUGGGGAUUUCCUCAGUGGUUUCGCCACCUGCUGCACAAGCGCAAAGAUCUGAGUUCAGUUCCCGGUACCAAAAAAAAAAAGAAUUGCAAAUAGAGUAAUAGUAAAGAGAAAUUCUGUUAAAAAACAAAAUUUGUUGAUUCCCCUUCAAAAGUUCUAGGCAUUAUUGUUCAUUUCAGAAUUCUUCAAAAUCAACCAUCUAUCUUCUUCACAUACUUUCUUGAUUU
rnacentral:lncRNA from 1 species